rnacentral:rRNA from 1 species
GAGUGGCGGACGGGUGAGUAAUGUCUGGGAAACUGCCCGAUGGAGGGGGAUAACUACUGGAAACGGUAGCUAAUACCGCAUAACGUCGCAAGACCAAAGAGGGGGACCUUCGGGCCUCUUGCCAUCGGAUGUGCCCAGAUGGGAUUAGCUAGUAGGUGGGGUAACGGCUCACCUAGGCGACGAUCCCUAGCUGGUCUGAGAGGAUGACCAGCCACACUGGAACUGAGACACGGUCCAGACUCCUACGGGAGGCAGCAGUGGGGAAUAUUGCACAAUGGGCGCAAGCCUGAUGCAGCCAUGCCGCGUGUAUGAAGAAGGCCUUCGGGUUGUAAAGU